rnacentral:rRNA from 1 species
UACGGAGGGGGGCUAGCGUUGUUCGGAAUUACUGGGCGUAAAGCGCACGUAGGCGGCUUUGCAAGUUAGAGGUGAAAGCCCGGGGCUCAACUCCGGAAUUGCCUUUGAUACUGGGAGUCUUGAGUUCGGGAGAGGUGAGUGGAACUGCGAGUGUAGAGGUGAAAUUCGUAGAUAUUCGCAAGAACACCAGUGGCGAAGGCGGCUCACUGGCCCGAUACUGACGCUGAGGUGCGAAAGCGUGGGGAGCAAACAGGG